GCAGUCUGCAACUCGACUGCAUGAAGCUGGAAUCGCUAGUAAUCGCGGAUCAGAAUGCCGCGGUGAAUACGUUCCCGGGUCUUGUACACACCGCCCGUCACACCAUGGGAGUCAGUAACGCCCGAAGUCAGUGACCGAACCGAGAGGACGGAGCUGCCGAAGGCGGGACGGAUAACUGGGGUGAAGUCGUAACAAGGUACC
rnacentral:rRNA from 1 species